GAUGAACGCUGGCGGCGUGCCUAAUACAUUCAAGUCGAUCGAACAGAUGAGGAGCUUGCUCCUCUGACGUUAGCGUCGGACGGGUGAGUAACACGUGGAUAACCUACCUAUAAGACUGGGAUAACUUCGGGAAACCGGAGCUAAUACCGGAUAAUCUAUUGAACCGCAUGGUUCAACAGUGAAAGACGGUUUUGCUGUCACUUAUAGAUGGAUCCGCGCCGCAUUAGCUAGUUGGUAAGGUAACGGCUUACCAAGGCAACGAUGCGUAGCCGACCUGAGAGGGUGAUCGGCCACACUGGAACUGAGACACGGUCCAGACUCCUACGGGAGGCAGCAGUAGGGAAUCUUCCGCAAUGGGCGAAAGCCUGACGGAGCAACGCCGCGUGAGUGAUGAAGGUCUUCGGAUCGUAAAACUCUGUUAUUAGGGAAGAACAAAUGUGUAAGUAACUAUGCACGUCUUGACGGUACCUAAUCAGAAAGCCACGGCUAACUACGUG
rnacentral:rRNA from 1 species